UAAGAACCCUGAUCCUAAAGCCAAGCACAGUGAAUUGGCUAUAAGAAUAUUUAGUAAACUCUUUGUGGUGGCAAAAUAUUGGAAAAUGAGGGGAUGCCCUUUGAUUGGGGAAUAGCUGAAUAAAUUGUGGUAUCUGUUGGUGAUGGAAUACUAUUGUGCUCAAAGGAAUAAUGAACUGGAGGAAUUCCAUGGAGACUGGAACAACCUCCAGGAAAUGAUGCAGAGCGAGAGGAGCAGAACCAGGAAAACAUUGUACACAGAGACUGAUACACUGUGGUACAAUCGAAUGUAAUGGACUUCUCUACUAGCAGCAAUGCAAUGAUCCAGGACAAUUCUGAGGGACUUAUGAGAAAGAACACUAUCCACAUCCAGAGAAAGAACUGGGGGAGCAGAAAGGCAGAAGAAAAACAUUUCCUUGAUCACAUGAGUCAAUGGAGACAUGAUUGGAUACUGUUAAUUUGGAAGACAAUUACAGAAGUCUAAAGGCCAUCUUCAAUUGUUCUUCUAUUUAUCAUAGUUUAAAAAAAUAUGGAAACUAUCACCUAACAACCUGGUCAUUCAUAUCUAUGUGUUUAUAGAGGUAAGCAGGCACAAUCUGUCACCAUGAUUUAAUUUUUUCUGCCUUGGUAGAACCUGUCAGAGCAUGGGAAUUCAUUGGCAUAGCCUUUGAGAGAUGAGGUUCAUCUUUAUGCUAGAAUCAGUUUUGCUCUCUGUUAAUAUAUGUGGAAAAUACUAGCCCCUAAUGUUAUAUUUUCAGUCUCUAAAUGGGCUAUCAAGUCUUUGGGAAUCUAACAAAGGGUGAAGAGAAAGACUCAUCCUUGCACAGACAUUGGAAAACAUAAUAAAGAGUUAGCCCGAACUCU
rnacentral:lncRNA from 1 species